rnacentral:rRNA from 1 species
UACGUAGGGGGCAAGCGUUGUCCGGAUUCAUUGGGCGUAAAGAGCGUGUAGGCGGCCAGGUAGGUCGGUUGUGAAAACUGGAGGCUCAACCUUCAGACGUCGACCGAAACCAUCUGGCUAGAGUCCGGGAGAGGCGAGUGGAAUUCCCGGUGUAGCGGUGAAAUGCGCAGAUAUCGGGAGGAACACCAAUGGCGAAGGCAGCUCGCUGGGACGGUACUGACGCUGAGACGCGAAAGCGUGGGGAGCAAACAGG